UGAGCUCGAUGAGUAGGGCGGGACACGUGGUAUCCUGUCUGAAUAUGGGGGGACCAUCCUCCAAGGCUAAAUACUCCUGACUGACCGAUAGUGAACCAGUACCGUGAGGGAAAGGCGAAAAGAACCCCGGCGAGGGGAGUGAAAAAGAACCUGAAACCGUGUACGUACAAGCAGUGGGAGCCCCACCACUAAGCCAGUGGUGAACUCCACAUACGCAUCCUUUGCUGAGGAUACGGUUAACGGAGCGAAAGCGACGUUCAACCGCAAAAGAAGCAGAGGGGGCUUAGUGGUGGGGUGACUGCGUACCUUUUGUAUAAUGGGUCAGCGACUUAUAUUCUGUAGCAAGGUUAACCGAAUAGGGGAGCCGGAGGGAAACCGAGUCUUAAUUGGGCGUUAAGUUGCAGGGUAUAGACCCGAAACCCGGUGAUCUAGCCAUGGGCAGGUUGAAGGUUGGGUAACACUAACUGGAGGACCGAACCGACUAAUGUUGAAAAAUUAGCGGAUGACCUGUGGCUGGGGGUGAAAGGCCAAUCAAACCGGGAGAUAGCUGGUUCUCCCCGAAAGCUAUUUAGGUAGCGCCUCGUGAAUUCAUCUCCGGGGGUAGAGCACUGUUUCGGCUAGGGGGCCAUCCCGGCUUACCAACCCGAUGCAAACUGCGAAUACCGGAGAAUGUUAUCACGGGAGACACACGGCGGGUGCUAACGUCCGUCGUGAAGAGGGAAACAACCCAGACCGCCAGCUAAGGUCCCAAAGUCAUGGUUAAGUGGGAAACGAUGUGGGAAGGCCCAGACAGCCAGGAUGUUGGCUUAGAAGCAGCCAUCAUUUAAAGAAAGCGUAAUAGCUCACUGGUCGAGUCGGCCUGCGCG
rnacentral:rRNA from 1 species